ACUGAGAGAAUGUAAGGAGGGGUUAAGCGGUGUGCACUUUUCACUUUGGUUUGCCCCUCCCUCCACUAGACCCACACACACGCAUAUGCGCGCACACACAACAACCCACUAUCGUCCCACGCAGAACUGGAAACUAGUUUCAAAUACAUUGUAAUAGGCAAGACGAUACACUCUGUUUAAAGUUUGCAACAAAUUAUAAAAUAGCAUAACUUUUUUUUUUUACCUUUGAGAACUUAAAAGUGCCUGUACCUUACAAUGACUACAGUAAUCCCUCGUUUAUCGCGGAUAGUUGGUUGCAAAAACCACCCGCAAUAAGUGAAAUCCGCGAAGUACGAUGCUAAUUCGCGAUCGUACUAACACGCAAAAACGGACUUCUAAAGGAAUGUAAACGAACAUUUGGAGCAAUACUACAUUAUCCUAAAGUUUAGACACAUGUUUCCUCAAUUUAGAAGUUUUAUUUUGACUUUUAAAUGUUUUUUUUAAUUUGGAAAAAAAAAUCUGCGAUGUAGUGAAGCCGCGAUAAACGAAACGUGAAGUAGCGAGGGAUCACUGUAUACCUGUAUGGUUUUUAUUAUAUAACAAAAUGUCAUUCUUGAUAUGGUCAUAUAAUAAUAAUAAUAUCGAUGUGGCUGUUUGGCGACUUCCUGACUAUAUGACGGUGUCGCAGGCAUUUCACGCAACCCACCGCUUGUUCCUCACAACCAAACGUGUUAGCAGACAACGCGGGCUUUGUGUGCAGGGAGAGAAAGAGGGCAGACAGAAAGGGAGAGGGAGAAAGAAAGAAGCCGCCCACAUACUGUACAAAAGGCAAAAAUAAUGGUGGAAGAUGGGAGUGCUCAAGCAUAGAAAGGGCAAAGUGGGAAGAAUGCUGUUCUUAUAUCCAUCCAAUUAUUACGCCAUUUGGAACUGUGUGGAUUUGCUUUGAGAAUCUUCUUGGAAAACGUUGUUAUUUAUUCGCUUGCAGGUUUUAGAACCCACGACAGGUGCUUUGGCUAUGUCUGUUCUGUAAAGGUGACUGACUGCAUGAAUCACAAAUGUGGUUAAUGCAGAGCAGAUGUAGUCAGACAGAUCUGCAUAAACAAGUCUUGAAGAUAAACUCAUCGUAUUCUGAGGUUAACAUGGAAUCUGGGAAUUCCUGUGGUGCUUCCUCAGCAGUAUCUCAGGUAAGUGUGAUAAAUCACAACUUCCACAUAUGGGAAUGUAAAAAAAAAAACUUGACAGAAUGUUAUGCACAACAAUAUCAAAUCGAAAAUGAAGGGCCCAUUGUUAGAUGUUUAGACAAUUCUUUGUUCACUUAUUUAUGGGAAAAGUGUGAUCAAGACGUCUUUCAGUUCCAUCCCAACUGUGAAUACAGCAAAGCAUGCUUGGAUGACUUUGAUGAAUAUGACAGCGUACAUUUUUGAAGCUUUUUAAUCCAAUUUAAAGAUAUCCGAGCAGAAGAGAAUUGUUUUCCAGCAAAGAAGUGCAGUAGGAUGGGAGGCCGGGAAUGAGUCCCAACAUGCCGGAAAGGAAUGAAGGAUGAAUUCAUGACCAGAGUCUGACACCUCGCCCUGUCACUCCCUAAAUCUUCAACGCUUACCCAUUUUCUUCAGCUGGUACUGUUGCAAUUUCACCUUUACUAACAAAUGAUUUGAGUCAUGAUGAAUUCCAGUGUACCAAUAUAAAUUGCUGAUAUGAUCCACAGUUAAAAUAUUAUGCAAUCAAAGAGGAUUAUGCAACAAUUUUAUUCCUUCAGGUCGAAUACAAUAUGUACAAAGCAGGAUGAUAUCUUUUAUCAUAACACACGUGGCUAAUAAAAUCAUAACAUGUGAAUCA